AGAAAACAUCUUACUAAGUUGCUCCAAAGUGCCAUCCUCCAUGCUGUCAUUUGUUUUAUAGCCUGAGGUGCUUAUCCACUUGUGGUUUUUCACCCAUGAAUCUCCAAUGGCUUUCAAAGCAUCAUAAAGGUAAAUGAACCUGAUACAAGGAGACAUCUUCUGUUUCUCUGGUCAAGUUACCAUUUACAACUUUGGGGUAUAAGUGGUAGAGAUCUUCAACCGUGUCCAUCACCAACUACCAUAAGAUUCAGAAUAGGAAGUUUUCAAGAAUAAAUGAUUGGAUUAAAAACAUCCAUGCUGUCACUGUAAGUAAAUAGAUGAGUACCUCAUGGAUGGGACCAGAACCGUCACAAGGAGGUAGGUCAAUGACAUCUCUAAAGGUUAGUAUCCUUUUUCGGAGCUCCACCAUCAACAAUAAAUUUGCUGCCCAUCCACAUGUAUUGCUUCUCAUCAUGCUCGUCAUUUCCUUAGGAUUCUUUGUUGCCUGAAGCAGAAUUUUAUUUCUGUCAACAAAAUUAUUCCAUUGAACUGAAUACAUCUCAGAUUGCCCCCUCACAACCACCCCACCCCCACCCCCUCAAAUUUUGUCUCAGGUUCUUGUAAAAUUGUCCUGUUUUCUUGAAAUGCAUUGAUCUAGACUAUCCAAUGGAUCAUGCAUUUACAAGACGUUAUCAAAAAUUUGAAUCAAUAUUCAUAAUAUUUUGUGCGUGUGUGAUAUAAUCGUCCAUCAUUUAUGUGAUUCGCUUGAAUCACGAUAGAACAAUAUUGGCACAACAGCUGACUAGUUUCCAAUUCUUAUUCACAGACAUGCAAACAUCUUCAAUGUCCAACAGCUGGAAACUAAGAUUAGAAUUAAAGAGGAAAAAGAAAAAGGUGAAAUUCAAAUUAAGAAAAAAGAAGCUGCAAUUUCAGUAUUGGAUAGGGUUAUACCAAAAUCCAGAAAAUAUGUUAACGAUGCAAAUGUGCAAAAGAGACCGCAGCAGCGACGUCAGUGACCUCUGAUGGGAUCAACCAAGGCAAGCCAGAAGCCAGGCAGAGUUUUUUGUUGUCUUUUUUUUGAGGUUAUAAAUGGCUAAUAAGUUUGUUUCCAAAAAAGUAGAAACUGAUUGGUUUAGAUGUUGCCACUUGUCUGUGCACUCAGGUCUAAAAUAACUGCCAAGAUGGUAUGUCAUGUCAUCAAUGUGUCGAUCCCUUUUAUAUUAUAUUAUAUUUUAUA